rnacentral:rRNA from 1 species
CUACGGGGUGCUCCAGUGAGGAAUAUUGCACAAUGGGGGGAACCCUGAUGCAGCAACGCCGCGUGGAGGAUGACGCAUUUCGGUGUGUAAACUCCUUUUAUAUGUCAAGAAAAUGACGGUAGCAUAUGAAUAAGCACCGGCUAACUCCGUGCCAGCAGCCGCGGUAAUACGGAGGGUGCAAGCGUUACUCGGAAUCACUGGGCGUAGAGGACGCGUAGGCGGGUUGGAAAGUCAGGUGUGAAAUCCUACAGCUUAACUGUAGAACUGCACUUGAAACUUCUAAUCUAGAGUAAGGGAGGGGGAGAUGGAAUUAGAGGUGUAGGGGUAAAAUCCGUAGAUAUCACUAGGAAUACCUAAAGCGAAGGCGAUCUCCUGGAACAUUACUGACGCUAAGGCGUGAAAGCGUGGGGAGCAAACAGGAUUAGAUACCCGUGUAGUC